UACGUAGGGUGCAAGCGUUAAUCGGAAUUACUGGGCGUAAAGCGUGCGCAGGUGGUUGUGUAAGCUUGAUGUGAAAUCCCCGGGCUUAACCUGGGAAUGGCAUUGAGGACUGCACGGCUAGAGUGUGGCAGAGGGGGGGUGGAAUUCCGCGUGUAGCAGUGAAAUUCGUAGAUAUUGGGAAGAACACCAGUGGCGAAGGCGGCUAACUGGUCCAGAUCUGACGCUGAGGUGCGAAAGCGUGGGGAGCAAACAGG
rnacentral:rRNA from 1 species